rnacentral:lncRNA from 1 species
UAUGGGACAAUGAAGGUGGGGGUCUCUGCUCUAUGGGACGAUGAAGUUGGGGGUCUCUGCUCUAUGGGACGUUGAAGGUGGGGGUCUCUGCUCUAUGGGGUGAUGAAGUUGGGGGUCUCUGCUCUAUGGGACGAUGAGGGUGGGGGUCUCGAAGCCUCAUCUCCCACCUCCCGGCUCGGGGUGUCCCCGCAGCUCCCGUUCCGUCCCCGCAGCUCCCGGUCCCUCCGCUGUGCGGAGCCUUAGAGCCGAGGCGAAGCACCGAACCCCCCCCCCCCUCCGGUUCCCCCCCCACCCCCGCUCCCGUUGGGCGUCACCGACGGAGCGAUGGCGGCGGGCGGAGCCCGUUGGAGACGGGGCAGGAAGUUCCUCCUCCCGGGCCGGGUCGGGUCGAACCGCUACCGGCGGAGGAGGCGGCGGUGCGAUGCGCACCGAGAGCGGCCGCUGGGGCGGACACGGUUCGGGUGUCUCCGGUUCGGGAUUCCGGGUCGGAUCCUGGAGCCGGAACCGGGGGGGCGAUGGCCGCGCUCCUCGCAAUGGGGCUGCUCCUCGUCGGCGCUCACGGGGCUCACGGGGACCCAGUAGGUGACAAGCGGGGCCAGCGAUGAUGGAGAGUGACACCUCAAAGUCGCUGCGGGGGGAGCGGCUGAUGGGGAUGGAGGAGGGAGUCAGGUGAGACCCCAGAGGCCGAUGGGUAUAAUGGGGUGGGGCUGGGGGUUACUGGGGCCUGGGGGGCGCUUGGCGGGGGCGCUGGAAGACCCAUAUGA